rnacentral:rRNA from 1 species
AGAGUUUGAUCCUGGCUCAGAUUGAACGCUGGCGGCAUGCCUUACACAUGCAAGUCGAACGGCAGCACGAGAGCUUGCUCUUGGUGGCGAGUGGCGAACGGGUGAGUAAUAUAUCGGAACGUACCCUAGAGUGGGGGAUAACGUAGCGAAAGUUACGCUAAUACCGCAUACGAUCUACGGAUGAAAGUGGGGGAUCGCAAGACCUCAUGCUCAUGGAGCGGCCGAUAUCUGAUUAGCUAGUUGGUGGGGUAAAAGCUCACCAAGGCGACGAUCAGUAGCUGGUCUGAGAGGACGACCAGCCACACUGGAACUGAGACACGGUCCAGACUCCUACGGGAGGCAGCAGUGGGGAAUUUUGGACAAUGGGCGCAAGCCUGAUCCAGCAAUGCCGCGUGAGUGAAGAAGGCCUUCGGGUUGUAAAGCUCUUUUGUCAGGGAAGAAACGGUGGACUCUAAUACAGAUCACUAAUGACGGUACCUGAAGAAUAAGCACCGGCUAACUACGUGCCAGCAGCCGCGGUAAUACGUAGGGUGCAAGCGUUAAUCGGAAUUACUGGGCGUAAAGCGUGCGCAGGCGGUUGUGCAAGACAGAUGUGAAAUCCCCGGGCUCAACCUGGGAAUUGCAUUUGUGACUGCACGGCUAGAGUGUGUCAGAGGGGGGUAGAAUUCCACGUGUAGCAGUGAAAUGCGUAGAGAUGUGGAGGAAUACCGAUGGCGAAGGCAGCCCCCUGGGAUAACACUGACGCUCAUGCACGAAAGCGUGGGGAGCAAACAGGAUUAGAUACCCUGGUAGUCCACGCCCUAAACGAUGUCUACUAGUUGUCGGGUCUUAAUUGACUUGGUAACGCAGCUAACGCGUGAAGUAGACCGCCUGGGGAGUACGGUCGCAAGAUUAAAACUCAAAGGAAUUGACGGGGACCCGCACGAGCGGUGGAUGAUGUGGAUUAAUUCGAUGCAACGCGAAAAACCUUACCUACCCUUGACAUGUCUGGAAUCCUUGAGAGAUCAGGGAGUGCUCGAAAGAGAAUCAGAACACAGGUGCUGCAUGGCUGUCGUCAGCUCGUGUCGUGAGAUGUUGGGUUAAGUCCCGCAACGAGCGCAACCCUUGUCAUUAGUUGCUACGAAAGGGCACUCUAAUGAGACUGCCGGUGACAAACCGGAGGAAGGUGGGGAUGACGUCAAGUCCUCAUGGCCCUUAUGGGUAGGGCUUCACACGUCAUACAAUGGUACAUACAGAGGGCCGCCAACCCGCGAGGGGGAGCUAAUCCCAGAAAGUGUAUCGUAGUCCGGAUUGUAGUCUGCAACUCGACUACAUGAAGUUGGAAUCGCUAGUAAUCGCGGAUCAGCAUGUCGCGGUGAAUACGUUCCCGGGUCUUGUACACACCGCCCGUCACACCAUGGGAGCGGGUUUCACCAGAAGUGGGUAGCCUAACCGCAAGGAGGGCGCUCACCACGGUGGGAUUCGUGACUGGGGUGAAGUCGUAACAAGGUA